AUUGAACGCUGGCGGAAUGCUUUACACAUGCAAGUCGAACGGUAGAGGGGGCAACCCCUCGAGAGUGGCGAACGGGUGAGUAAUAUAUCGGAACGUGCCCAGUCGUGGGGGAUAACGUAGCGAAAGUUACGCUAAUACCGCAUACGAUCUAAGGAUGAAAGCGGGGGAUCGCAAGACCUCGCGCGAUUGGAGCGGCCGAUAUCAGAUUAGGUAGUUGGUGGGGUAAAGGCUGACCAAGCCAACGAUCUGUAGCUGGUCUGAGAGGACGACCAGCCAGACUGGAACUGAGACACGGUCCAGACUCCUACGGGAGGCAGCAGUGGGGAAUUUUGGACAAUGGACGCAAGUCUGAUCCAGCCAUUCCGCGUGCAGGAUGAAGGCCCUCGGGUUGGAAACUGCUUUUGUACGGAACGAAAAGGUCUCUCUUAAUACGGGGGGCUCAUGACGGUACCGUAAGAAUAAGCACCGGCUAACUACGUGCCAGCCGCCGCAGUAA
rnacentral:rRNA from 1 species